ACGUACCUCGUCGACUGGAAGGAAAUCCUUCCGGCCGACGAGGUACAUGUACCUCGUCGACCGGAAGGAGAUCCUUCCGGUCAACAAGGUACAU
rnacentral:miRNA from 1 species